GUCGGGCUUGUCUUCCAGUACCUAGUAAAAUAGAAUGAAACAUCAACUUCUCCUAGAUGUACACAUUUGAAGCUGAUUCAGCUAAAAUGGGAUCGAGGAUUCAAUUGAGAAGGCACGGCAACGAAAUAGCAACAUUUAUAGAUAUAAAAGUUGCAACAGAAAGCAGAUAGGCAGCUAUAGCAAGACGAAUAUCCAAUUGAAAUUCAAAGAAAAUUCUCACACACCUUUACGGACGAAAUAAAG
rnacentral:misc_RNA from 1 species